rnacentral:tRNA from 1 species
GCCAGCAUGGUGUAGUGGUCUGAGUGCUGGACUAUGACUCUGGAGACCAGGGUUUGAAUCCUUGCUCAGCCA